GAUGAAGAACGCAGCGAAAUGCGAUAAGUAGUGUGAUUUGCAGAAUUCAGUGAAUCAUCGAUUCUUUGAACGCACAUUGCGCCCCUUGGUAUUCCAUGGGGCAUGCCUGUUCGAGCGUCAUUUGUACCUUCAAGCUUUGCUUGGUGUUGGGUGUUUGUCUCGCCUUUGCGUGUAGACUCGCCUUAAAAUAAUUGGCAGCCGGCGUAUUGAUUUCGGAGCGCAGUACAUCUCGCGCUUUGCACUCAUAACGACAGCGUCCAAAAGUACAUUUUACACUCUUGACCUCGGAUCAGGUAGGGAUACCCGCUGAACUUAAGCAUAUCAAUAAGCGGAGGA
rnacentral:misc_RNA from 1 species